CGGGGCAUAGUAUAGUGGUAGUACGCACGCUUCGGGUGCGUGUGGUUCCGGUUCGAUUCCGGGUACCCCGACAA
rnacentral:tRNA from 1 species